CUCAUUUCUAAACAAAGCAGGACAUGAACACCUAAACAACCACAUCACUAACUAAAUGCUCUAUCAGUAGUACAUGCUUAAAGUAAUGGUUCGAAUGUUCUGAUAUUACAAGGUAAAUCAGUCUCUAAAGAUAAAUAAUUACAAAAAUGAAUCAGUCCAACUUUAAUUACAACAUGAUGAUUAUCUUGUCACUACAAUUACAUUCAUAAUUGAAUAAGGGGAAAACAGGGAAAGGGUUUAGAAUGAUAUAAUGAACUCAGAUCUUCACAUUUAUGAGUACUUUAUACUUGAGCUUCAAAUACAUCAAUGAACAUAGGAAGUUACCUGUAAUUAAGCAGAAAACAAACCCUAUGAUUAAAUAUAACGAAUCAGCUAAGCAAUCAGAAGCCAAUCAAACAGUGCAUCAGGACUUCAGCAGCGUUUUUAGAAAAUUAAGUCUUCAGAAAAAUGAUUCAAGCUGCACUAAUGGUAUUUAACAGAUAUAGGAAGAGCUAGUAUGUUAUUUUUAGCUCUAGGAUUGAAAGAAAAGGUUCCGGAUCUUUUAAAAUGUGCUCAGGUGGUUUCUUUUAUAAUGGAGCCUUAGGGCAUCAGCUUUUCUCUUGUUUUUCUUUAGUCCUUGCUUCAGAUUUGCACUUUUCCUAAAUGGUCCUUCAUUUCCUGACUUGUGCCUAAAGUUUGAGGCAGAAAUUGUGUUUUGCCCCAUUACUAGAAGGUUCUAGGGGAUUACUAUCAGAUUUUUAAAGUUCAAAUACCCCUGUUCCCCUGCUUCCUUCCUAAAUUACCCACCUGAAGUUUUUUAACUUCAAAUAUUCCUUGACCGUGGUUUAGUUACAAUUGACUCUGGUAAAUCAAGUUUGGGUCACAUUUCAAUCUUGAGCUAACAAGCUUACGAAAGUUCAAAAUCAGCCAAAACUACCAGGUUUUAAAACAAGUGCCUUAAUGUAGACUUUCAGCACACAAACAUUAUUCCGGAUUAUCAAAACAAAGGAUCAAAAUAACCAGAAGAAUGCAUAUAUCUAUCAACACUUAAACUUUUCAGAAAUAUCUCAAUCAAGGUACUCAGAAAUUCUUGACAGUGAGAAGCACAUAGCAGGGAAUGAGCCCUAAGUUCAUGAACAAAAAUGAGGAAGCAAGUAAAAGUUCAGAGAGAAAGAAUAGCUUAAUUAUGCAUAAGUACUGAAGAUCAAAGUUAUUAUGAAAUGAGAAUCAGGCACACAAUAGCAUAAACAAACUAAUCAAACUAGUCAGAACAUCAGGGAACAAAACAUAUGAGGAUCAUGAGAUGAAGGUCAACAACCAUUGAAAUCAUACUACUGAAAGAUUAGCAAGCUAAACUUUCCACAUCAGAAGGCUAAUGCAUAAAAUGAUAUCACAACUACUAAAGAGAUUUCAGAUUACUGAUAAGCAAAACAUAUGACCAUUUAGACCUACUUCAGGCAAGAUUACAAACAAACAAUUAUUUAAAAGAAGUCAAACAUUAAGAGCAAAUAGAAAUAAAGCAAAAAUAUAUACAGAAAAAGAUAAGCUUCUUAGGCAAAUAUAUAAA
rnacentral:lncRNA from 1 species